AACGAACGCUGGCGGCAGGCUUAACACAUGCAAGUCGAACGCAUCCUUCGGGGUGAGUGGCAGACGGGUGAGUAACGCAUGGGAACGUGCCCUUCAGUUCGGGAUAACCCAGGGAAACUUGGGCUAAUACCGGAUACGUGCGAGAGCAGAAAGAUUUAUCGCUGAAGGAUCGGCCCGCGUCUGAUUAGCUAGUUGGUGGGGUAAUGGCCCUCCAAGGCGACGAUCAGUAGCUGGUCUGAGAGGGUGAUCAGCCACAUUGGGACUGAGACACGGCCCAAACUCCUACGGGAGGCAGCAGUGGGGAAUAUUGGACAAUGGGCGCAAGCCUGAUCCAGCCAUGCCGCGUGAGUGAUGAAGGCCUUAGGGUUGUAAAGCGCUUUCGUCCGGGACGAUAAUGACGGUACCGGAAGAAGAAGCCCCGGCUAACUUCGUGCCAGCCGCCGCAGUAA
rnacentral:rRNA from 1 species